UACGUAGGGGGCAAGCGUUGUCCGGAUUUACUGGGCGUAAAGAGCGUGUAGGCGGCCAAACAGGUCCGUUGUGAAAACUGGAGGCUCAACCUCCAGACGUCGACGGAAACCGUGCGGCUAGAGUCCGGAAGAGGAGAGUGGAAUUCCUGGUGUAGCGGUGAAAUGCGCAGAUAUCAGGAAGAACACCAAUGGCGAAGGCAGCUCUCUGGGACGGUACUGACGCUGAGACGCGAAAGCGUGGGGAGCGAACAGG
rnacentral:rRNA from 1 species